GCCCACUACGUCUCAGUGGGCGUCCCAAAGAACCCUAGAUAUGGUCUCUUCCUAGUCCGUUCCGGAAAUGCGACUGCGUACGGGCUCGUCACGUGAUAGUGACGUCAGCGCGCCCGCGCCCUCUGGCCGGACGCCCAAGGCUUCCGCGAGAUUUUCGGUGGGUGUACGGCUGCUUUACGCCACGGCGUUGCUGCGUUUGGGUUCUCUUCUGCAGGCUCUGUGCACCGGGUCACGAUUCACCAUGUACCACAAUAGUAGCCAGAAGCGGCACUGGACUUUCUCCGGUGAAGAGCAGCUGGCAAGAUUGCGGGCCGACGCCAACCGCAAAUUCAGAUGCAAAGCAGUUGCCAACGGGAAGGUUCUUCCGAAUGAUCCAGUCUUUCUUGAGCCUCAUGAAGAAAUGACACUCUGCAAAUACUAUGAGAAAAGGUUACUGGAAUUCUGUUCAGUGUUUAAGCCAGCAAUGCCAAGGUCUGUUGUGGGUACAGCUUGUAUGUAUUUCAAGCGUUUUUAUCUUAAUAAUUCAGUAAUGGAAUAUCACCCCAGGAUAAUAAUGCUCACUUGUGCAUUUUUGGCCUGCAAAGUAGAUGAAUUCAAUGUAUCUAGUCCUCAGUUUGUUGGAAACCUUCGGGAGAGUCCUCUUGGACAGGAGAAGGCACUUGAACAGAUACUAGAAUAUGAACUACUACUUAUACAGCAACUUAAUUUCCACCUUAUUGUCCACAAUCCUUACCGACCAUUUGAAGGCUUCCUCAUUGACUUAAAGACCAGAUAUCCCAUGUUGGAGAAUCCAGAGAUUUUGAGGAAAACAGCUGAUGACUUUCUUAAUAGAAUUGCAUUGACGGAUGCUUACCUUUUAUACACACCUUCCCAAAUUGCCCUGACUGCCAUUUUAUCUAGUGCCUCCAGAGCUGGAAUUACUAUGGAAAGUUAUUUAUCAGAGAGUCUGAUGCUGAGAGAGAACAGAACUUGCCUGUCACAGUUACUAGAUAUAAUGAAAAGCAUGAGAAACUUAGUAAAAAAGUAUGAACCACCCAGAUCUGAAGAAGUUGCUAUUCUGAAACAGAAGUUGGAGCGAUGUCAUUCUCCUGAGCUUGCACUUAAUGUAAUCUCGAAGAAGAGGAAAGGCUAUGAAGAUGAUGAUUAUGUCUCAAAGAAAUCCAAACAUGAGGAGAUCGCCAAACUUUGGCAUCAGAGCAAGGUCCACACUUACCACUGAAAAUUUUCCCACCCAGCCCCAUUAAAAAAGUUAAAGUUUGAGAGAUUUUAUUUCAACACUGACAAGCUAGUUACUACCUACAAAGGAGGAAGAUCACUAAAGGAACAAGGAGAAAAAGAGUUAAGAAAAUGUUUUAACAUCAAACUACUUUAUUCCUUUAGUUCUAAUAUCAAAUAAGCUCCCUAUUUCAGCUUAAAAAAAAAAGUGAGUGUGCUACUCUUAUUUCACAACAUAUUGUAUUAUUUGGUUUACAGAAGACAAGCAAAUUAUAUACUUUACCUACCAUCUUUAACCUCCUAAAUAAUUCAUUCAAAUAAGUACUGGAAACCCUACUAAACAUUUUGUUUUUUGACUUGCUAAUUCAUGUAAAUAACUAGGUGGAAAAACCAAGGGCACAGCUUCACAAAUAAAGGUGAACAUAUAAAACAAAAUAUAUAUAUAUAUAUACACGUGUGUGUGUGUGUGUAUGUAUAUAUAUAUGCUGUUAAAACACCUGGAUGUGGUACCUUGUUCUGAUGGUUUAGAUACAGAGACCAAAAGAAUGGAAAGAAAGGAAAUAUCAUAAAAGAAAAUGAUUAAUGAUAAAAUAAGACUUACUCAAAGACAAACUCUUCUGACCAUACUGGGUUUUGCCCUUCCCUUGCAUGAGUUUUUGCUACUUGGACACUAUUCAGGUAGAUGUUACAAUAUGGAUUAGUAAAAUGUUUUACUGGAAGUUUAUGGGCUUCUUCAAUAUGUAAAACAAGGCUGCUGACCUAAAAAAAAAAACAACAACAACAAAAAUUAUUACCCCAGAUUUCUAGAAUUGCAUUAAGUUUCAAAAGCAAUUACUCAUAAGAUAAAAAAGCCCAAUAUAGUGACUUAUUUUCCACCUUUUUUUCAGAAAAUAUGAGCUUUGGUUUUAUUUUUCCUUUUUAUAUGACAUACUUAAAACAUUAAAAUAUUUAAAAUAAUUCUUCCCACCUAAGAAGAUAAAACAAUGCAAUUUUAUUUUACAAGUUAUUUCUACCAUUAUCUUCUUGGAGAAAUACACCUUUUCUACCAUAAAACAAUGAUACAGAGAAAAAGUCGAGAGGAAAAUUCUUUAUUCAUGUAAGUAAACAACUGUCACUACUCAAAUCAAAACCCUGCAUGUUAUAUAAUGCUUAUCUAGAAGAUUUUAUUUCUAUAAAAUAGAGUUCCACGGCUAAAACUUUUUAAAACACUGACUCUGCCUUCUUAUUUUAUAGGAAAGGAUACAAAUGUAAAAAAUACUAAGUCAUUUGUCAGUUUAGAUCAUCUCCCUUCUACUGUCAGGUCCUCUUUCUCUGCUGCAGUCAAAUGCUCUACCACUGAGCUAUACCCCACUAGGUCCUCUUUCUCUCUUGCCAUGUACUACUUGUGUGGCCUUGGACAAAUCAGUCCCUCUAAGCCUCAUUUUUCUAAUAUGUAAGUAGAAAGUCUACACUACAGAUUUUCAUAAGGAUUACAAACUAGUUGUCCCUCAGUAUCUGCGGGACUGAUCCCAAGCCCUCCCCUUCUCUGUCCUGGCAGAUAACAAAGCCCAAGGAUGCUCAAGUCCCUUAUAGAAAAUAACAUAGUACCUGCAUAAAAUCUAUGCACACCCUCCUAUAUGCUUUAAAUCAUCUCUAGAUUACUUGUAAUACCUAAUACGAUGAACAGCAUCAUUGUGAUACUAUAUUUUUAUUGUAUUUUUUUCUGAAUAUUUUUGACCCACGAUUGGUAGAUUCCACUGAUGCAGAACCCAUGAAUGGGGGGGAGGGGUCAACUGUAUAUGUAAAUCACUGAAUCUCACUGUCUACUGAUACAUAAAAAGUGCUUGAGAGAUGUUAGCUAUGAUUAUAUUAUACCUGCAUAUGUCAACUUAAUGGCUCAAGUUUCAUACAAAAUACAACUUGCUCUUAUUUGCGAAAAUCCAAUCUGAUUUUUUAUAGCUUACAAAUGUUACAAUGUUAUGAACACAUGGUGAUUGUGUGUAUAUUUAAAUUUCCUUGGGCAACAGCCAGACUUUGGGUUACAAGGACUAUUUAGUCACUAAAUAUCAACUAUUAUCCACUCCCAGUAGAACAGUAUAUUAAUCACUCAGCUUAUCAGAUAGUCACAUGAAGAAAACAGAAGACACUUUGGUCAGUAAAUAAGUAUUGUACCAAACUUUCUUUAAAAACCUCAAGUAUGUCAAAAUUUGCCUAACUUCUUCCAAUUAUACAGGGAUUACUAUAAAGAAAAAAGCCAAUAAAUGGAGGUUAUAAAGUUACCCUUCUACAGGCAAAAAAGAGAAAGCCUACUCUUCACAAAUGAAAGUAAUAGGCAUGUUAUGGUUUCAAAUAAGAUUAAAUAUCUCCUAAGAGUUAAGCAGUACGUUUCAAAAGCUGUUCUUCAGAAUGAAAAUCCCAAAAAAGUUUAUUGGGAUUAGUACUGUAAAUCUGAUGAUCUUUUCAAUGUUCUACUUUUCUGAAAGAAGCCAAAAUAAUUUUUUGAAGGAAAAUUAAAUGCCCAACAGAACAGUUUCUGUUAUGGUGGUAUAGUAUUAUUAUUUUAAGUGGAAGAAUAAAUAAUCUUAUGUUUUUAACAGUUGGCAUUAUGGACUAAACAUUCUCUUUCAUAAAGAAGUAACGUUUUCCUGCUACUGAAGCAAGUGGCAGCUUAACCCCUCAUAAGAUAUGAUGCCCAAAACAGUUCACAUAAAAAUAAAACAUAAAGGGCAAAAUGUUAAAGCAAAAUGUGACAACUACAAAUCAAAGAAAAUUAAGCUUCACCUGACGAAGGCGUUUAUUGGAUGUCCCUGGACUACUUUUCCGUAAACUGCAAAAUGCCUGCAGAGCUUUCAUCCAAUCCUACAAAGAAAAACAUCAUUUCAAAGAAAUAUACACUAGUUUAUUUGGUUUCCAAAUCAUCAAUCAGUUUUUUCAAAUUCAACAAUUCUUUCCUUCUUUAGACUGCUUUUUCUGUUCUCAGACUAUACUGCACUUUAUUUAUGCCCCAAUAAAACAAUAACCAAAACAAUUAUAAUUCUGUAUAAAUCUUGGUUUGAAUUUAUGUAUUAAAUGCACCAUGAGUGGCCAUUAAUUAGGCAAAAAAUCAAAUUUACAUUAAAGAAAUUGUUUCUCUCAAACACAUACUACCUUGGAGAAAUUAACUGUCUAUGUUUAAUGAAGCUGUUAACACUUGAGGCAAGCUUUGGUGGAAUUUAAUUUGAUACAUUUUGUGAGAAGGGGAGAUGGCUCAUUGCAAAACCAGCUGAUACUGUGAUGACUGAUUCGAUGACAAGCAUGCUAAUCUAUACUUUAGACCAUGAUACAGGUAGAAAUGUAUAAGAGGACUUGGGUUAUUUUUUUUAAGCUUCUCAAAUAUAACAUUAGAUUUAAAAAAUUAUUUCAGCCUAAUAUUCAAAUCAAAUUGCAGCCAUGUUUUUUUAAAUGUUUAUCUAGUGCUUUGGGAGAAAGUAGAGAACUACUUAGGUUUAUUAAAAAUAAAUAUAAAUAUUCACUUUGGUUUUUACAUGUUUCUGGAAAGCUGUGUACUACUGCUUUAUUCAGUUAUGUUUUCAGUUUGUUGGCUAUUUCAAUGAAGCUGAACUUUGUCAAUGUUUAGAAAAUGUCUUUAUAUUAGAGCAAAUUAAAACCAAAUCAGUUACCAUAGCUUUUUGAAAUAGAAGAGAAUAACCAGAGACCCCCACAGCUCACCAAAUCAACAAAAACUGGAAAUGCCAUUUAUGGAAAUAUAGAAUAUAGAAAGAUUACGUAUAAAUACAUUUUUUAAAUGUUAUAAGGCUUAUAAAACAUGCUAAAAUGUCAUUAUGGUAUGUGACAUUUUUAUUCAGAAAGAGGGACCAUGAUAACAUGCCUAGAAAAUAGGAUACUGAAGUUUAAAUUUCUAUUCCUAACUCAAUUUCUAACAUUUUAAAAAACCAUCUAACUUACCAAAAUGUUUUGAGCCCUACCUUUCUCAUCUAAAGAUUAGAGAUACAUAGCCAUAAAAAUGUUAUGUGCAUUAUCUGUGAAAUGAGCAUUUAAAUGAGAUAGUUUAUAAAGAUGUGAAAUAUGACAUUUAAUAUGAGCCACAAAACACAGUGGCUUAUUCAAAUUUAUGAGUCUCAUGCUAGGAUCCAGUUUUAAGGGCAUGUUCCUCAUAUCUAGGGUUGGCAAAUUAUAUUUCCAACAAAGUCACUUUCACUUCUUAACCACCUUUAAAUUCCUUUGAGUAUCAGCAGAAAUUUAGUCAUAUUUGUAUAAAAUACAACCAUAUACUCCAGUAAUAUUACGGUUCAAAGAAAGCAAAA